GACGGACGCUGGCGGCGUGCUUAACACAUGCAAGUCGAGCGGUAAGGCCCUUUCGGGGGUACACGAGCGGCGAACGGGUGAGUAACACGUGGGUGACCUGCCCUCAGCUCUGGGAUAAAGCCCGGGAAACUGGGUCUAAUACUGGAUAUGACUCCAUGACGCAUGUUGUGGGGUGGAAAGCCUUGUGCGGCUGAGGAUGGGCCCGCGGCCUAUCAGCUUGUUGGUGGGGGAUGGCCUACCAAGGCGACGACGGGUAGCCGGCCUGAGAGGGCGACCGGCCACACUGGGACUGAGACACGGCCCAGACUCCUACGGGAGGCAGCAGUGGGGAAUCUUGCGCAAUGGGCGAAAGCCUGACGCAGCGACGCCGCGUGAGGGAUGA
rnacentral:rRNA from 1 species